GAAGGAGCAAAGUGUGGAGUGAGGGUUUGGACUCGUCACCUGUUAUGUCACUCUGAUGGAAACACCCAACGGCCAAUUGGAGCAAAGGGGCAGUACAGGAAGGAAGAGGAUUUCAUGGAGCUGGAGGCGAGCAUGGUGACGACUGAAAGACAAUCUGGAAGCUCCUUCAGUUUACCUCUUUGCUGGUGAGCCUCAUAAACACAUCCCCCAUGAUGCCUUGCCACUGGCACUUGAGCACACGUUCCUGGAGAGUGUGGAGGAGCUCGAGAUGCUGCUGGAUUAGAAACCUCAGAGAGCUGGGAAACGGACUGAAGACGGCGAGAAACAAAGAAGUUAAUUCAUUAAAAAGAAUAUUUACUUUGUGGAAUAAACAUAGAACAAAUUAAGGAAGAAGCUAAGAAUAAAACAUGUUGUUCUCUAACACAGAAGAAACAAGGAUGAGAAAAUGAUUUUAAGGGUUCAUUUUUAUUGACGUUGCAUUUUAGAGG